rnacentral:lncRNA from 13 species
AUGCUCCUUUUCUUACUGGGAUACCCCACACUGGGCUGCCCUGUCACACUGGGAGACCCACACUGGUUCCCCUUCCCUGGUCACUGGGAGGACUGGAGUCACUGGGGCCACCCACCAGUAUCACCCUGUGGGCAGGAGCAGCCAAAUCCCCGAAGGUUUUUUUGCAACCGAAAUCUCCCAGGACAGCACCCACUGCUGGGGCUCCGGAGUGACAGGAGAUGGGUGACAAUGACACGGACACCAGGAAUUACAGGAAAAUCCUUUAUUGGUUUCUGUCCCCCCCCGUUCCAGCUCGGGCUCUGCCCGGUGUGGGGCUGGGGCCAGCAAAGGGCCCCCCCACUGCCACCCAUGGCCACAGGUCCCCAUGGCAUCUGGCAAGCACAGGGUGGGGGGCCCAAGGUGGAAUUCGGGGCUGGAUGGGCCCCCCCUGCAUCCCCUGGGAGCAGCCGGAGGUGCAAACCCCGGAGCAUCCCCAGCCCUGCGCUGGGGACAGGGACGGGGUCGGGCCUGGGGGCCGUGUCCCAGCUUUGCAUAGUCGGGUGUGGGGGGCCUGCGCGGGGGGACAGUCCGGCCGCGGGCAGGGGGACACCAGCAGUGGCCUCUUCACCUGGGGAGGGCGGGGACAGCGUCCCCCCCCAGCCUGGAGGCGCGGAGCCCUCAGAUCCUGGUGCAUGGGACAGAAAGGAGAUGUGGCAGGAAAGGUCCUGGGGGCUUCACCCUGUGGGUCCCAGCCCCUCGCAGCCCCCAGGGAGGGGGGUGCAGGUGGUGUCCCACUGCCCACCCACACCAUGGGGAGGGGUUGGACUGCACUGGACUCCCCCUGCAGCAGGGGGGGAUCCCAUACACCUCCCCAGCCACAGGAACCCCCCGGACACAACACAGACACCACCACCAGAGUUUAAUGGGGGCAGCCCGAGCUACAAGCGUCACCCCACAGCACACGACACGCAGCCCCCUCCCCAAAACAGCACACAGAAAGAGGGUGGGGGAGAGGGAAGCCCCCAGGCCCGCCCCCAGAGCACACAGAGGCACAGCAAAAGCACACAGCAGGGCCCUGGCUCCGCUCCUCGGCGGGCACGGGGGACUGGGGGGGUGUCAGGGCAGGGCUGGGUGCUCUGGCCAAAAUGCUGGAGGGAAAAGCACCCAAGAAUCCACGAGGGGAGGAGGGCACCCCCCAGCCCCACGAGCCUCAAGGCUGUGGGGAGGCGAUGGGGCAGGGGGUGCCGAGAGUGGGAAGGGGGCUGCUGGGUGCGAGCUGGGGUCAAACUGUGGCCAGGCUGGGAGCCCCGCAGUUCCCGUGCUGUUGAGGAUGCUCAGGGUGAGGGGGCUGCACCCCGCUGUUGUGAGGCUGGGGGCACUGGGGACCCCUCGCCCAGGUGGCAGAAGGGGCUGUGUGGGGCUGCAGCCCUGAGGGGCUCCGUGCCGGAAAGGGGGCGGGGGGGACCCCUUCCCUUCCAUCCCUAA